CUCAAAUGUAAAGGGAGGUUGUGGAAAAAUCUAGUACAGUAGAGCAUUCCUGGCUAAAUCCGAGCAUUCAGGCUCCCUCCGACACGCCCAUUUCCUUUAGUAGAACCGUCUGAGGAACACAGCCAGAGAGAGAGGGAAAAGAAAGAGAGAAAAGCGCUUCCCUGCCCUACCCGGAUUUCUUUCCCUCCCCUCUGCACUUCCUAAAUAAACCCCUGACACUCGGAGGGGAAGGGAGGGGUGGACGGGGAGAUGGCUGCCGAAUACGAGCCCAAUUAAAUGGUCAUGAGGAGAGAGAAGCCAUUUAAAGAGCCUAUGAAAAGAUAAGCAGCCUUUGAAACUAAAAUAUAUAAAACACUCGUAAUGUUAUGCAACACAUCAUGUAAUAUUCCUUUUCUCUGUCCUGUCCUUCCAGGGGAAUGAUCCAUCUAAGGCUGGGAAUUCUGGCGCAGAAGCCACCAGCUGAAUCCGACUGUUUUUCCUCCUCUCUGUACGGACACACUGUUUCGUUUUUUCCUGGUUCGCUUGGUCUGAUUUUCAGCGGGGAGAGAUGGAAAUAGAGCUGGCUUCCAAACGCUAGCCCCGGCGAUGUGACUUCACACCGUUCUGGCAGACUGAGUCAUCACAACCUACGCUACACCGAGGCUUCACACAACCACGUGCCUCAAAAACACACGAACGCACGCCGACAGCUUUUCCUGACUGUCAUUGAUGAAGAUGCAUGAGGUACGAGGUCGUGUCACCUCGUUAGACAAAUCCGCCACAAUCGGGGCACAAUCACGGCCAGCUCUAGCCGCCGAAUAGAAUAGAGAGAUGCCUACUUGAAUACAAUAUUUUAUUAGCGAUGUUUACUACAUCAAACAAGCCAUGCUAAAUGUCAUUGCUGCAGAUAAUUGAAUGAUAAUAAAACGGGUGAAAAUUU